UACGUAGGGCGCAAGCGUUGUCCGGAUUCACUGGGUGUAAAGGAUGCGUAGGCGGGAAGGUAAGUCCGCGGUGAAAUCUCACAGCUCAACUGUGAAACUGCCGUUGAUACUGCUUUUCUUGAGUUCGGGAGAGGUUGAUGGAAUUCCAGGUGUAGCGGUGAAAUGCGUAGAUAUCCGGAGGAACCCCUGAGGCGAAGGCGGCGUCCUGGCCCGAUUCUGACAUUCAGACACGACAGCAUGGGGAGCGAACGGG
rnacentral:rRNA from 1 species